rnacentral:tRNA from 1 species
GGCAAAAUAGCUCAUAAUGGUAGAGCAUUGGUCUCAUAAUCCAAGGGUUGACAGUUCAAGUCUGUCUUUUGCC